GGGGUUGUGGCUUAGUGGUACAGCACUUACCUAGAAUGUGUGAGGCACUGGGUUCGAUUCUCAGCAUCACAU
rfam:Ictidomys tridecemlineatus contig085808, whole genome shotgun sequence.